rnacentral:rRNA from 1 species
AUUGAACGCUGGCGGCAUGCCUUACACAUGCAAGUCGAACGGCAGCACGGGUGCUUGCCCCUGGUGGCGAGUGGCGAACGGGUGAGUAAUACAUCGGAACAUGUCCUGUAGUGGGGGAUAGCCCGGCGAAAGCCGGAUUAAUACCGCAUACGAUCUACGGGAGAAAGCGGGGGACCUUCGGGCCUCGCGCUAUGGGGUUGGCCGAUGGCUGAUUAGCUAGUUGGUGGGGUAAAGGCCUACCAAGGCGACGAUCAGUAGCUGGUCUGAGAGGACGACCAGUCACACUGGAACUGAGACACGGCCCAGACUCCUACGGGAGGCAGCAGUGGGGAAUUUUGGACAAUGGGCGAAAGCCUGAUCCAGCAAUGCCGCGUGUGUGAAGAAGGCCUUCGGGUUGUAAAGCACUUUUGUCCGGAAAGAAGUCCUUGGCCCUAAUACGGUCGGGGGAUGACGUUACCGGAAGAAUAAGCACCGGCUAACUACGUG